rnacentral:rRNA from 1 species
GACGAACGCUGGCGGCGUGCUUAACACAUGCAAGUCGAACGGAAAGGCCCUGCUUUUGUGGGGUGCUCGAGUGGCGAACGGGUGAGUAACACGUGAGUAACCUGCCCUUGACUUUGGGAUAACUUCAGGAAACUGGGGCUAAUACCGGAUAGGAGCUCCUGCUGCAUGGUGGGGGUUGGAAAGUUUCGGCGGUUGGGGAUGGACUCGCGGCUUAUCAGCUUGUUGGUGGGGUAGUGGCUUACCAAGGCUUUGACGGGUAGCCGGCCUGAGAGGGUGACCGGCCACAUUGGGACUGAGAUACGGCCCAGACGCCUACGGGGGGCAACAGUGGGGAAUAUUGCACAAUGGGCGGAAGCCUGAUGCAGCAACGCCGCGUGCGGGAUGACGGCCUUCGGGUUGUAAACCGCUUUCGCCUGUGACGAAGCGUGAGUGACGGUAAUGGGUAAAGAAGCACCGGCUAACUACGU